rnacentral:misc_RNA from 1 species
UACGGAGGGUGCAAGCAUUAAUCGGAAUUAUUGGGCGUAAAGGGCGCGUAGGCGGAAUUGUAAGUCAGAUGUGAAAUAUCGAGGCUCAACCUCGAUGCUGCAUUUGAAACUACAAAUCUUGAGGAUAGACGGAGAAAACGGAAUUCCACGUGUAGCGGUGAAAUGCGUGGAUAUGUGGAAGAACACCUGUGGCGAAAGCGGUUUUCUAGUUUAUUCCUGACGCUGAGGCGCGAGAGCAAGGGGAGCAAACAGG